rnacentral:rRNA from 1 species
UGGUGGAGUGAUUUGUCUGGUUAAUUCCGAUAACGAACGAGACCUUAACCUGCUAAUUAGAAGUUUCGGAGUUCGUUCCGAACUCUCUUCUUAGAGGGACUGUUGCGUGCCUAAUCAAAGGAAGUUUGAGGCAAUAACA